rnacentral:misc_RNA from 1 species
AAAGUCGUAACAAGGUAACCGUAGGUGAACCUGCGGUUGGAUCAUUAAUAAAUUUUAGAGCUGGUUGGUGGCUGCACUCUUGGGUGUGGUCGCUGAUUCAGUUUCUUAACAUUUUGUGAAUCGUUUAUUGUCUCUUGCGGUUGAAGGCUUUCCUUUUGGUGGCCAACUCCGCACGUGAAUCUUAACAUCGUAAUAUAACCAUAUGUCUUGAAAUUUAAACCUAAAAAAUUUAAAAACAACUUUUGACAACGGAUCUCUAGGCUCUC